rnacentral:rRNA from 1 species
UACGAAGGGGGGCUAGCGUUGCUCGGAAUCACUGGGCGUAAAGCGCACGUAGGCGGAUUGCUAAGUCAGGGGUGAAAUCCUGGAGCUCAACUCCAGAACUGCCUUUGAUACUGAAGAUCUUGAGUCCGGGAGAGGUGAGUGGAACUGCGAGUGUAGAGGUGAAAUGCGCAGAUAUCAGGAAGAACACCCGUGGCGAAGGCGGCUCUCUGGGACGGUACUGACGCUGAGACGCGAAAGCGUGGGGAGCGAACAGG